rnacentral:misc_RNA from 1 species
AAGUCGUAACAAGGUUUCCGUAGGUGAACCUGCGGAAGGAUCAUUAAAGGAAAUAUAUAUUAUAUCCUAUACACCAUAUGUGCAUUAGUAUUGUGUAAAAUUUUUUUUUUCUUUGGUAAAAAAAAAAGGGUUUUUUCUUUUAUUAUUUCAUCAUCUUCGGUGGGACUCUGGCCCAUUGUUUUGGGCCAAAAAGCUUUUCUCACUAAAAAGGAAGAGGGAAUAAUAAAAAAAAAAUUUCUUUUUUUACCAAGGGAGGAAAAAAUAAAAAUUUAAUUCACUCGAAUCAAAAAAUUUUACUUGGCCUGAAAAACUUUAUUGAGAAAAUAAUUAUAAAAUACAACUUUCAACAACGGAUCUCUUGGCUCUC